AUGAACGCUAGCUACAGGCUUAACACAUGCAAGUCGAGGGGCAGCAUUUUAGUUUGCUUGCAAACUAAAGAUGGCGACCGGCGCACGGGUGAGUAACACGUAUCCAACCUGCCGAUAACUCGGGGAUAGCCUUUCGAAAGAAAGAUUAAUAUCCGAUAGUAUAUUAAAACCGCAUGGUUUUACUAUUAAAGAAUUUCGGUUAUCGAUGGGGAUGCGUUCCAUUAGUUUGUUGGCGGGGUAACGGCCCACCAAGACUACGAUGGAUAGGGGUUCUGAGAGGAAGGUCCCCCACAUUGGAACUGAGACACGGUCCAAACUCCUACGGGAGGCAGCAGUGAGGAAUAUUGGUCAAUGGACGAGAGUCUGAACCAGCCAAGUAGCGUGAAGGAUGACUGCCCUAUGGGUUGUAAACUUCUUUUAUAUGGGAAUAAAGUAUUCCACGUGUGGGAUUUUGUAUGUACCAUAUGAAUAAGGAUCGGCUAACUCCGUGCCAGCAGCCGCGGUAAUACGGAGGAUCCGAGCGUUAUCCGGAUUUAUUGGGUUUAAAGGGAGCGUAGGUGGAUUGUUAAGUCAGUUGUGAAAGUUUGCGGCUCAACCGUAAAAUUGCAGUUGAAACUGGCAGUCUUGAGUACAGUAGAGGUGGGCGGAAUUCGUGGUGUAGCGGUGAAAUGCUUAGAUAUCACGAAGAACUCCGAUUGCGAAGGCAGCUCACUAGACUGCAACUGACACUGAUGCUCGAAAGUGUGGGUAUCAAACAGGAUUAGAUACCCUGGUAGUCCACACAGUAAACGAUGAAUACUCGCUGUUUGCGAUAUACAGUAAGCGGCCAAGCGAAAGCAUUAAGUAUUCCACCUGGGGAGUACGCCGGCAACGGUGAAACUCAAAGGAAUUGACGGGGGCCCGCACAAGCGGAGGAACAUGUGGUUUAAUUCGAUGAUACGCGAGGAACCUUACCCGGGCUUAAAUUGCAUUUGAAUAAUCUGGAAACAGGUUAGCCGCAAGGCAAAUGUGAAGGUGCUGCAUGGUUGUCGUCAGCUCGUGUCGUGAGAUGUUGGGUUAAGUCCCGCAACGAGCGCAACCCCUGUUUCUAGUUGCCAGCAUGUAAAGAUGGGAACUCUAGAAAGACUGCCGUAGAUAAUACGGAGGAAGGUGGGGAUGACGUCAAAUCAGCACGGCCCUUACGUCCGGGGCUACACACGUGUUACAAUGGGGGGUACAGAAGGCAGCUACCUGGCGACAGGAUGCUAAUCCCAAAAACCUCUCUCAGUUCGGAUCGAAGUCUGCAACCCGACUUCGUGAAGCUGGAUUCGCUAGUAAUCGCGCAUCAGCCAUGGCGCGGUGAAUACGUUCCCGGGCCUUGUACACACCGCCCGUCAAGCCAUGAAAGCCGGGGGUACCUGAAGUACGUAACCGCAAGGAGCGUCCUAGGGUAAAACUGGUAAUUGGGGCU
rnacentral:rRNA from 1 species